CCUACGGGAGGCAGCAGUGGGGAAUAUUGCGCAAUGGGGAAACCCUGACGCAGCAACGCCGCGUGAGUGAGGAAGGACUUCGGUCUGUAAAGCUCUGUUAAUGUGGAAAAAUGGUAGUUGGUCUAAUAGGCCGAUUAUUUGAUGGUACACAUAGAGGAAGCACCGGCUAACUUCGUGCCAGCAGCCGCGGUAAUACGAAGGGUGCAAGCGUUGUUCGGAUUUAUUGGGCGUAAAGCGCGCGUAGGCGGACCUGUAAGUCAGAUGUGAAAUCUCGGGGCUCAACCUCGAAACUGCGUCUGAAACUGCAGGUCUAGAAUCUCGGAGGGGGAAGGGGAAUUUCGCAUGUAGGGGUAAAAUCCGUAGAUAUGCGAAGGAACACCAGAGGCGAAGGCGCCUUCCUGGACGAGUAUUGACGCUGAGGCGCGAAAGCGUGGGGAUCAAACAGGAUUAGAUACCCUGGUAGUCCACGCUGUAAACUAUGAAACACUAGGUAUUGGAGGAUUUGACCCCCUUNAGUGCCGUAGCUAACGCGUUAAGUGUUCCGCCUGGGAAGUACGGUCGCAAGACUAAAACNCAAANAGAGUAGAGCGUGAGACGNGCGACGGACGACGACGAGGGAGGAGG
rnacentral:rRNA from 1 species